CCUACGGGAGGCAGCAGUGGGGGAUAUUGCACAAUGGAGGAAACUCUGAUGCAGCGACGCCGCGUGAGGGAAGAAGGUCUUCGGAUUGUAAACCUCUGUCUUCGGGGAAGAAAAUGACGGUACCCAAAGAAGAAGCCCCGGCUAACUACGUGCCAGCAGCCGCGGUAAUACGUAGGGGGCGAGCGUUUUCCGGAAUUACUGGGUGUGAAGGGGGCGUAGGGGGGCGAGAAAGUUGAAUGUUAAAUCUACGGGCUUAACUGGUAGCUGCGUUCAAAACUUUGUGUUUUGAGUGAAGGAGAGGAAAGCGGAAUUCCUAGUGUAGCGGUGAAAUGCGUAGAUAUUAGGAGGAACACCAGUGGCGAAGGCGGCUUGCUGGACUUUAACUGACGCUGAGGCUCGAAAGCGUGGGGAGCAAACAGGAUUAGAUACCCUUGUAGUC
rnacentral:rRNA from 1 species